rnacentral:lncRNA from 1 species
CGCCGGAUAUUGGGGAUACACCAAUCCACUGGGUACUUCUGUGAAUUGAUAUUCUUAAAAGCACCUUAAAUAGCAUCCUAAGUGGCUCUCUCAGUUUUCCCAAGACAUGCUCGUGCCUUUGACGAUUUACUUCCAGUAGUAGGAUGAACGAGGAGACCUGCUCUUCCUACCCUUAGCCUUUAGCAGAGGCAGCCAAAUAGCCUUCCCUAGCCUCAUAAAGG